rnacentral:rRNA from 1 species
CCUACGGGAGGCAGCAGUGAGGAAUAUUGGUCAAUGGGCGCAAGCCUGAACCAGCCAAGUCGCGUGAGGGAUGACGGUCCUAUGGAUUGUAAACCUCUUUUGUCGGGGAGCAAGUCCCGCCACGCGUGGCGGGAAGGAGAGUACCCGAAGAAAAAGCAUCGGCUAACUCCGUGCCAGCAGCCGCGGUAAUACGGAGGAUGCGAGCGUUAUCCGGAUUUAUUGGGUUUAAAGGGUGCGUAGGCGGAAGGUUAAGUCAGCGGUAAAAUGUCGGUGCUCAACACCGGCCUGCCGUUGAAACUGGUCUUCUUGAGUGAGCGAGAAGUAUGCGGAAUGCGUGGUGUAGCGGUGAAAUGCAUAGAUAUCACGCAGAACUCCGAUUGCGAAGGCAGCAUACCGGCGCUCAACUGACGCUGAGGCACGAAAGCGUGGGGAUCGAACAGGAUUAGAUACCCGAGUAGUC